rnacentral:rRNA from 1 species
AGACUGGAAUGAAUGGAUAUAUGGGGCAUUGCUUUCUUAAAUUAAAACUUAAAAAUAAUUUUUUUAGUGAGGAAACUAAAAUGAUAAUGAGGGACGAGAAGACCCUAUUAAGCUUUAUAUAAUUAUUUUGUUGGGGAAACAAAAGAAUAAAUUUUCUUUAAAUUAGUUUUUUGAUAAAAUUUGAUUUUUUAUUAAUAAUAAUAGAAUAAGUUACUAUAGGGAUAACAGCAUAAUUUUUUUUAAAAGUUCUUAUUUACGAAGAAGAUUAUGACCUCGAUGUUGGAUUAAAAUAAUUAUAUGAUGAAGUUGUUGUAUAAAUUAGUCUGUUCGACUAUUAAAUUUUUA